rnacentral:tRNA from 1 species
GCGGGGUGGAGGUCAGCUCGGUAGCUCGCUGGGCUCAUAACCCAGGAGGUCGCAGGUUCAAAUCCUCGUCCCCCAGCA